rnacentral:tRNA from 1 species
UAGAAAAUGGUGUAGUGGAAGCACUGAGAGUUUUGAUCUCUCUGGACGGGGUUCGAGUCCCCCUUUUCUAA